AACUCACAAAUCUACCUGCCUCUUGCCUCCUGAGUGCAAAUAGGUUUUUAGAUAAAGAAGAAAUCUGUGUGUUAAUGGGAGUGGUGGUAGGAUACAUGUGUGCUCUUAAAGGUGUGUGUUCAUACAUGUGGAGGCCAGUGGUCAGUGUUGACUGUUCUCGCCAAUUACUUUCCACCCUAUUUCUGGAGAAAGGGUGUCUCACAGCUCACAGGUUCAGCUAGGCCGACUAGGGAUCUAUCUGCCUGUCUCUGUCAUGCGUGCUGGAGAUUUGAACACAGGUCCUCAUGAGCCAUCCUUCUAGCUACUAUUUUAAAAACUCAGGAUCACCCGUUAUCACAGUUUAAAAUGUGAUUGAGAAUUGCAGAACUUAAUUUCUCAGAGUUGGGGAGAUGCUCAGUGGGUGAAGUUUCUGCACAUAAAUGUAAGGACCUGGAUUUCGACCUCCCCAUACCUGCAUAAAGCCAAAUUUUGUCCCAUGAGUGUGUAACCCUAGAACUUGGAUGUUGUGGGGUGUCAGAGACAGGCUGAUUCCCAGAGCUUGCUGCCCAUCACUCUAGCCAGUUGGUAAAGGGCAGGUCUGAUGACAGAUUCUGUUUCAAAAGAUAAGAUGGAGCUUGUUAGUAGGAAACACCCAGUUUCAAGCUCUGGCAUACAUGUGCGCACACACAAUCGUACACACAUACACCAUGCACACAUUUAAUCAUGCAUACAUACCCUGUGCAUAUACAAACUCAUGCAUACGUAUACUGUGCACACAUGCACACCAAGAGAGAAAAUCAAAACCUUGUCCUUCCAGGGUUGUUUUCAGCCAUGGUUCUUGUGUUGUUAGAUUCUCUUUAGGAGGAUCUACAGAGGAAAAGGCCCACGUUGCUUUCUGCCUGAGGAGCACUGCGGCUGGCGGGAGCCGUGCCUCUGUGAUGGACAGAGUGGCCGCUGUCUUUCACAAUGACCUGAACAGUGCAAUUCUAGCCUUUGCCUUACUUCACCCAUCUCCACCGCCUCCCCAGGCUCACCCUCGGAUCUUGUAAAACCUCCAUCCUGCUGUAGGUAUUUCAUAGGGAAAUUCUGCUUUCAAACUGUGCUGAAUAGGUUUCAAAGAAAAUGAAUGAAAGGCAUUCUUUUCUCCUUUCCCAUGAAGCGAUUAGCUAUGCGGCCUGGAAAAACAGUUUCUAUUUAAAAGGAGAACUACACGGAGAGCAACAUCUUUCCUUUCUCUCAAACUGCACUCAGAAAACAGCAGCUCUUCUCCUCUGGCUCAGUGCUGUGGCCCGCCCUCCCUUCUGGUGGCUCCCCUCCACCCUCCCUUCUUUGUGACACCCCUUCUUAGCUACAAGAACAGGUUAUCAAGGUGAUAAUAAGCGAGAAAAUGUUCCAGCCUUGUUUUAAGCCUCAGCCAUACCACACUGCUUAAUCAAGGUUAAAUGCCAGUGUGAACCUAUGUUUUCUACCCCUCUGGCCAUGUGGCCCUAAGCCAGGCUGAUCCGGCCUUACGUUGCCCUCUCUCCACCAGAGACCAGCUGGUGUGGAUGAUUGAGGUGGCCUCCGGAUCGAGGCAGCUGCUGGCUUGUACUUGGAAAUUCGGUCCUCUCAAGGGUCCAUGGAGAUGGUCGGGACUUAAUAAAUAUUAGACCGGCCCACCAGCCGUCUGCCCUGCCCUCCAGGAACUUACCGUCCACCUGACAAGGGACGCUGCAUGUGGCUGUCUGUGCUCUGAGGCCCUUGCGAAAGAGAAAAUACCAAGUGACCAAGUGCAGGCUGAAGUUUCUGGAAAAGAAAGCUGCACCGUGUUAAAGCUUCUGUAGCGCCAUUGCAAUCACGAGGAUAUCUGUGACCAUGGAGAUCAGAGAUGUUGCUGGUUUGGAGCCAUUUCCCUGGUCUGUUUUUAAUAGACAGCCAUUGUCCGUCUCUGCAUGUAACCUGGCAUCCUUCUGACUAUCAGCCGGUGGUAAACGGUCUUGAGAGAAGAGUAAAUAGAUUUUAGUAGAAUCAAGGAAGAGUCCAUCUAAACACAAGCUAUCACCCACCAAGAAACCCCAUCGCCUGCAAGCCCUCACCAUCCUGUCAGUAGUUAAAGUUCCAAGUAGAAAACUGUUCAUCAUUGAAAAUUCAGAGCAGACUGGCAAAGUGGACUGAAUGUGAAUCUCCUGUGUCUUAUAGUCUUGAUUCUGCAAGGCAGCAAGGAGCAGUCUUGUGGAGCUUGAAGCUUAAGAUCUGAACUCGCUGGUUCCACCCAUGUAUUCUGUCUCCACCCUACCAUAGUGCCAUAGUUUGUUUGCUGUCUCCCAGAAAAACCACCUGAACUCUUUCCCGGAGUGAACUGAAGAGAGAUGAACAAAGGACUCACGUAAACAUUUAUUCUUUCGAUCCCAAGUACCUGCUCUCUCUGAGAAACUGGUAGUGGCUUUGCCUCUUCAAUAAUAGAGCAAACCAUUAGCCUUUGUAAGUUCCUCCUUCACAGCUCAGUUACCAGGACCCGACAGACCUCCUGGUCUCAAGUCCUCUGCUAUUCUUGGGUUCUAAGAACCUUGAGAAUUGGAUGCAAGCAGUCAACAUUGUCCCCUUUUUUGGUUUUCACUCCUGAACACAAAGGCCUUUGUUAGUCCUUUUUGUU
rnacentral:sRNA from 1 species